AAUCCAUUUGAUGGCUUUGGGUGAAGAGACUGUCUCAGACAAGCUGCUGAGCUCUGAAAUGAUGCACGUGCAGUGGAGGAAGGGUGGACCAAUUUUUAGGGGUGGACCGUUCAGUCUGUGACACCAGCGUGUACUGUACGCCUUGCACAGCAGCACCCUGACAUCGGUGUGUGUUUGUGUGAAUGGGUGAGUGUGAGGCAUAACUGUAAAGCACUUUGAGCUUCUGUAGCAGAUGGAAUAAUGGAAAUUAACACUGUAAUUUACAUUUAUUUUUGGCUGAGUUUUAACAAUCACACAUGAAGAAUAUAUACACACAUUUAGAUUAUAUCCAGAUAAAACAAAAAGAAAUGCUUCAUCAAGACAAAAUGAUGAUCCAGUGGCUUCUUGCUUGCCCCAUCUGUUGAAACUACAUUGAAGU